UUCUGCGCUGUCACGAGCUGUCAGAAAAGUUUUUGUAGCGAGCAAGAAAAACGAAGUAAGUUUUGGCGGAGUGAGGAAAAAAACAAGAAAAAGGUGAGAAAAGCGCAAGGUAGUGAAUUUUUUGGCGUCAACAGUGCACACUCAAGGAUACAAACUGUGGAUAAUCACUGUGAAAAAACCCAGGAAAAGAGAUGAAGAGACGAAAUGCCGAUUGCAAACUAAGGCGACCGAUUAAACGCAAUAAAAUCACGGAAGGAAUGUACGGAAGCAAUACAAUAUUGUACAUCAAGUUCCUGCUACUGUGGGCCAUUGUGAUUACAGCCGAUUUCAUGUUGGAAUUCCGUUUUGAAUUUCUCUGGCCAUUUUGGUUGCUUCUCCGUUCCGUUCAUGAUUCUUUUAAAUUCAAGGGACUGGCUUUUUCCGUUCUCUUUGUGUGCAUCGCCAUCACAUCGGAUCUCAUAUGUUUAUUUUUUAUACCAGUCCAUUGGCUGUUUUUUGCAGCAAGCACAUAUGUUUGGGUACAAUAUGUGUGGCACACAGAGAAGGGCAUUUGCUUACCAACAAUUGUAUUGUGGAUGCUUUUCCUGUACAUCGAGGGUGCAAUUCGCUGGAAAGAUAGUCGGCAUAUGCCACAUUUGGAUCUCUGUCGACCAUUUGCUGCCCAUUGCAUUGGGUAUCCAGUGGUGACUCUGGGUUUUGGCUUCAAGAGCUACGUUGGCUUCCGGAUGCGCCAGCGAAAGCAACGUGAGGUGGCGAAAGAGAAUGAAUUCUAUAUGCAAUUGCUGCAACAAGCAUUACCGCAGGAAGAGCCCACGGAGGAUGCGAUAGCAUUAACGGAGGGUAGUAGCAUUAGUGUGGCCGCGACGACAGCAACACACAAUAAUGGUGAUGUGCGAAGUGGUGGUGGAAGUAGCACAAGAAAUAUGCCCCAGAAAGCAUUAAGUAUAGCCGCCGUGGGUGCAACAGCAACGACGACGACGACGACGUCCAAUGGGCAUGCCGUGGGGGCGUCAAAUGGCGCCGUGUCAAGUGGAUACGGUGGCCGAGGGCAUCAUGGGAAACGUAGUAGCGGUGGCACCGAUGGGGGUAGCAGUAGCAGCAGCAGCAACAGCAAAUGUGAUCUUAACAAUCAUAGUAAUAGUAAAUCAUCCAUAAAUCACACAUCAUAUCAUCAGCAACAGCUAUCAUGCAGCAACAGUAGUAGCUCUUCCGCAUCAACUUCCGCGGCGCACGUUGGCACCACGACGACGACGACAACAGCAGGGAAAGCAGCCGAUAAGGAUGUAACGAGGUCAUCGAGUGACAGCCUCUCGGGUGGAUCAUCGCGUGAACGUGAUACGUGCACGCAGAUAAAGGAGCAGCAGCAGCACAAGACUGAGCGUGCGUCACACGAUGGGCAGAGCGACGGUUCACCGUCAUCGACAAAGUCAUCACAGAGCAACAACAAAGUACAACACAAUGGUGGCAUUAAUUACAAUAAUUGCAAUAGUGGUGAGCAUCAGCAACAGCAGCAGGAUGUUGGCGAUGUGUCGUCAUCCACGGAACGUGGGAAAAAUCGCCGAAAUCGCAUGAAGCAGCAACAAAAGGAGAUGGCACGAGACAAUCACCAUCAUCAUGUUAAUGGUGGCAUCGAUGGUGGUGUCAAUGUGCACCAGACAAAUCACAAUCAGACAUCACAGACACUUCCCCAAGUGUGUGAGUCGUGCCUCCGACUUGAGGCUGAGAUGAAGAAAAUGCGCUCCGAUAUGGGGCAUAUGAAGCAAAUUGAGCAUGAAUUGCGGCAAAAGGUGGAAUCAUCGGCCACAAUUAAAUCCUGCCUGCAAGCAAAGCAUAAGGAGAAUGAUGAACUAGAGAAGAAAAUUCAAGACCUCAACAACUCGAGGCACGUAGACAGGCAGAAUUUGCUGAAUGCAGAAAAGAGACUCGGCGAGGAGCGACGACAGCGACUCACGUUGGAAUCCCAAUUGGCAAACGAGAGGAAAAUACGAGCGAAAAUUGAGGAGAAAGCAGCAAAAUUAGCUGAAUGUGGCGAAUCUUGCAAAAUGAAGAAGAGACAUUUGGAAUCUGAAGCAGGACGUCUAAGGCGUGAAUUGUCCUUGGCGGAUGAGCAAAAGAAAUCCUUUGAGCAACAGAAUAGAAGAUACGAAGAUGAGAUUCGUAAAAUGGAGGAUGCACAGCAAGAUACGGAAAUGCUAAUGUCUGCCUUGGCGGCGAUGCAGGAUAAAAAUUCAACACUUGAGAAGAAUCUCUCAGCUGAGACGAGAUUUAAAUUGGAUUUAUUUUCUGCACUCGGUGAGGCACGACGUGAGGUGGAUAUUAAAGAUUCACACAUUCGGAAUAUGGAGAAAGAGAUACUAGAGCUGAAGGGUAAGAUUGCUCAACUGUUGGCCGUUAUGCCAGCAAUGCCAUCGGCGGAAUCCUUCAGUUUGACACCAAACUCUUCAGCUGGUAGCUCAAUGUUGCGCCUCAAUGAUACACCACCACUUAUAAUGGCACAGCAGAGCCCGAGUCAAGCGCAAAUGGGUCUUGGGGCACCCUCAAUUAUUUGCCAGUUGACAGCAGCAGCCCAGGCGACGGCUGCUGCGGGUGCUGCAAUGAGUCAAGUGACAAAUUGUGUUCAGCAACAACGUGAGAAUCCCAACAAUCUCACUGGGAAUGCAGCAUCAACACUUGAUCCCAAUGCCACUGCAUAUACACCCAAGAAUUCAUCACUUGUGGGUGGUACGGAGGCAUGACUGGAUCGUCUUGUUUGAAGGGUUAAUAAAAUACAAUAAAAACCCCCAAAAUCUUCCAUCUGGACACUAACAAAGAAGUAAAGAUAAAAAAAAAGAAGAAAACAACAUACACCACUCCGUUUUGGCGUUUAGAGAGAGAGAAAAAGAAGAGAAAGAAUUUUUUUUCUCUAAGGGAUGGAUAAGAGAAAUGGAUUAAAUUUUUUAUGAAGCGUGUCAUCCCGCAUUGAAUUUUACUCACAAACAUCCCCACACAACACACGAGAAAUUAAAAAAAAAAUGUGUGAGAGUGAGAAAAAAUACCACAGAGAGAAAAAAAGUUUUUUUAUUUAAAUUUUUCAAAUAGUUUCUGUGGAUUAUUUUUUUAAUUAAAAAAAAUAUUGAAUCAGUCUCCUUGAAAAUAAAUGAAGAAAAAAAACAAGAAUUAAAAGCAGAGAAAAAGAAUCCUUCAUAUCAAGGAUUCAGGCGUCCAUUGAAAUAAAAAAAAAUACUCAUCAUUUGAAAUUUUGAAAAAAAAAGAAAAUAUUCGAAAAAUAUGAAUUUUCUCUUCAAAAAAAAAUUGGGAAGAAAACAUAUAUUGUCCUUAUUGUAAUGAAUUUUGUUUUAUCAUGAAGAAAUAGAGAAGAGAAUGAAAAAAAAACAGAAAAUAUGUGUUCCUGUUCUGGAUUAUUAUUUUUUUUUUAAUUGAAUUUAUGGUACAUGAACAGAGUAGUGAAGAAUUUCACUCUUAAAAAAAAUGAAAGAGUGAAGAAAAAGAAAAUGAAAUUGUAUGAAUUUUAUUUUUUUCAUAUAACAACUUUUGUGAUAUAAAUUAUAGACUAAAAAAAAAACAAGAAAAAUAAGAAAAGAAAACUGAAGAAACAGACUUUUGUUUAGUGUUAUUUAUUAUUAUUUUUAAUUAUUAAUUUACUGCAAAAAAAGAAAGAUGAAAUGGAGAAAAUGAGAGACAUCCAGAAAAAAUGCGCGCGUUUUCAAACGUCCGCUUGAUAAUGAAAUAAAAAAAACGUCCUUCAUUGAUUUAUUGGCAAGACACUUCAGCGCCUCUUGGUCGGAAUUUUUAAAACGUACUAGGGGCUGUCAAGUACUACAGAAUUGUGUCUUGCUUGUGAAUCGAUCACAAUUAAGAAACAAUGAUGAGUUAUAAUUGAGAGAGAGGAAACAAAGUAAAACAAAAUAUUAAAUCAUAUUGUGGGAGAUUCUUUGCAAAGGAAUUUUCAGUGAAAAGGAAAAAAUAUAUAUAUUUUUUUAAAUUAACAUUUUGAGGAUCGUGGUUCCUAACCUCAAAAGUUUAACCUUAAUUUUCUCUCAAAAGAAAAGUUUUUCCAAGUUUUCUUUUGACGAACUUGAAGUAAUUUAACUUCCCUACAUAAAGAUAUAAAAUUUAUCACGAAAUAUAAAAUAGAUUUCGAUUUUGUGGCGAUUGAAAAAAGUCGAAUUAGCCAGAUUGGCCAGCAAAAUCCUUCAAGGGUUAAAAGGAGGCUUUUCAGGCAGUUAAGAAAUUCAAAAAGAAUGACAAAUCAACAUAUAAACUAUAAUGCAUAGAAAAAACACUAAAAUAUUACCCACAAAAUGCAAAAAAAAAUAUAGGCUGCCAUUGCUAAUUUUAUAUCUAUAAAUGUUUCAAAACAUUCACGUUAAUGUUUCACCCAUGAGUUGUCGCUACGAAAUAUUAAAGUGAAUGUUUUGAAACAUUAAAAAAAGGAACAAAAUUAGUAAUUGCCGCUCAUUUUCUUGCAUUUUGUAUGUAAACUUUGCUGGGUUUAUUUUUCUUUGUGAUUCCUUUUUGAUUCUCUAAAAUAUAUUGCAGAUUAGAACUUAUGUGUGCCUGAAUAGUCUCCUUUGAUGAUAAAAUUAAUCAAAUUUAUCAUGAAUUAUUCUUUCUAUUUGUCCAUAACAGAAGAAUAAUUUUUAUUUAAAACAAACAAAGUGAAUAAACUUUUUUUUUUUUUUCAAAAGAAGUUCCUUUACAAAGUUUCUCAUCACGGUAUGAAGUAAAAAUUUCCACGCACUAUAGAGAAGAAGAAAAGCAAAAAAGAAUAAAGAACAAGAUAAGGAGAAUGAUGAGAGAAAACCCUUGCUUAAUAAAAAUUGAUUUUGAGAUUUUUUUUUAAUUUUUACAAAACAAGAUUAAAGAUUUCAGUUUUUUUUUAAUUAUAAUUUUUUUUUCAUUUUUUGAGCAUUUUUGCCAAGUUACUUACGCGAUGCUUUUUUUUUUUUGUAAAAAGAUUUUUUUGUGUAAAAAUCAUCUCUUUUUAGUUUUGAUUUAAAAACUUAUUAAUUCAAAGAUUGAAAAGAUUUUGUAAAAAAAAAAUGGAAGAAAGAUAAAAUCUUUGAAAAAAAUGAUGGCGGAAAGAAAAUAAGAUGAAGAAAAGUAAAAUGAAAAGAAUAAAACAAAAUAUAAAGAUAAUUUGCACCUGCUGUCCUAGCCGAGAUAAAACUACAUAAAUUUUAUCCUUUUAUCAAUGAUGAAGAAUAUUUAAGUAAAUUAAAAUGCAAUGAAAAUGAGAAACUGUAGUAGAUUUAUGAAUGAUGAAUUUUUCUUUUUCAAUACACAAAAGAUUUUUUUGUUUGAAUUCCUCGUGGAAAAAGAAAGAACAAACACAAACUUCUAUCCUCCUUUUAUGUCGUGAAAAUGAUUUAAAAAAAAAGAAAUGAAAAUGAAAAAUUAAGAGAAAAAAUAGCGAUGGAAAAUGUUUUGAAAUGAAAAAGAAAAAAAUGGGUUUUCACAGAAUUUUUAACAAUUAUUUUGUCUGAACGAGUGAGAAUUUCAUCUUGUGAGAGAUUCUUUAUAAAAUGAGAAAAAAAUGAAGAUUUUGCGAGAAAAAAACAUGUAAAAAAACAAGUCUAAUAGUAGAGUGAUGUGAUGCUGGUUGUAAUUUUGUUAAAAAAAAUAUUGUGAGUUCGCUCUCUAUAUGUGUCAAUACCUCAGAAUAUAAUCGAUAAAAAAUGCAAGAAAAUGAUCAAUACAAGCAAAUUGUAUUUGAGAAAGCCACAAAAAUAUUAAUAAAUUAACAGAAGAGA